CCAACUCAGACCUCCACGCUGACUACCCAGCCUGAUGGGUGAUGACGCUGCCCCCUGUCGGGUGAUCUAGCGGCCUUAAAAGUCAAUGGAGCAAAAGACUCUUCUAUAGAGGCUUCACACCGCCACCAUACCCUCAAACUAAAUCCUGCACUCCCUCAAACAGAUCCUCCAGGAAAAACAUCAUCCCUUCCUUGGACAAAUGUACACCAUCAGGCUGAAAAAGGU